UCCGAGUUAACCCCGGCAGUCUCCCGCGAGUCCCCAACACUACUUGCUGGCAACACGGGAUGAGGGUUGCGCUCGUUGCGGGACUUAACCCAACAUCUCACGACACGAGCUGACGACAGCCAUGCACCACCUGUGCACUGGCCCCGAAGGGCUGCCGUAUUUCUACGACAUUCCAGUGCAUGUCAAGCCUUGGUAAGGUUCUUCGCGUUGCGUCGAAUUAAACCACAUGCUCCGCUGCUUGUGCGGGUCCCCGUCAAUUCCUUUGAGUUUUAGCCUUGCGGCCGUACUCCCCAGGCGGGGUGCUUAAUGCGUUAGCUUCGGCACGGAAGGGCAAGCCCGCCAACGGCUGGCAUUCAUCGUUUACGGCGUGGACUAC
rnacentral:misc_RNA from 1 species